rnacentral:rRNA from 1 species
CCUACGGGAGGCAGCAGUGGGGAAUUGUUCGCAAUGGGCGCAAGCCUGACGACGCAACGCCGCGUGGAGGAUGAAGACCUUCGGGUCGUAAACUCCUUUCGAUCGAGACGAAUGUUUUCCGGGUGAACAAUCCGGAAAAGUGACGGUACCGAGAGAAGAAGCCCCGGCUAACUCUGUGCCAGCAGCCGCGGUAAUACAGGGGGGGCAAGCGUUGUUCGGAAUUACUGGGCGUAAAGGGCUUGUAGGUGGCCAACUAAGUCAGACGUGAAAUCCCUCAGCUUAACUGGGGAACUGCGUCUGAUACUGGAUGGCUUGAGUUUGGGAGAGGGAUGCGGAAUUCCAGGUGUAGCGGUGAAAUGCGUAGAUAUCUGGAGGAACACCGGUGGCGAAGGCGGCAUCCUGGACCAACACUGACACUGAGGAGCGAAAGCCAGGGGAGCAAACGGGAUUAGAUACCCCGGUAGUCCUGGCCCUAAACGAUGAAUGCUUGGUGUGGGCGGUAUCGUACUCCUCGUCGUCGCGACGACGUACGACAUAAGUACACUCCGUCCGUCGGGUAGGUACGGUCGCGAGCGUCGAACGACGAAGAAGUAGACGGACGUGAGACGUGCCGACGGACGACGACGAGGGAGGAGG